UACAGAGGGUGCAAGCGUUAAUCGGAAUUACUGGGCGUAAAGCGUGCGUAGUCGGUUAUCUAAGUCAGGUGUGAAAUCCCCGGGCUCAACCUGGGAAUUGCAUUUGAGACUGGAUAGCUAGAGUUCGGCAGAGGGAAGUGGAAUUUCAGGUGUAGCGGUGAAAUGCGUAGAUAUCUGAAGGAACAUCAGUGGCGAAAGCGACUUCCUGGACCAGAACUGACGAUCAGGCACGAAAGCGUGGGGAGCAAACAGG
rnacentral:rRNA from 1 species